UACGGGGGGGGCAAGCGUUGUUCGGAAUUACUGGGCGUAAAGGGCUCGUAGGCGGCCAACUAAGUCGGACGUGAAAUCCCCAGGCUCAACCUGGGAACUGCGUUCGAUACUGGAUGGCUUGAAUCCGGGAGAGGGAUGCAGAAUUCCAGGUGUAGCGGUGAAAUGCGUAGAUAUCUGGAGGAAUACCGGUGGCGAAGGCGGCAUCCUGGACCGGCGUUGACGCUGAGGAGCGAAAGCCAGGGGAGCAAACGGG
rnacentral:rRNA from 1 species